GGUAGCGUGGCCGAAAGAGCAGGCGGCGAGUUGUAGCCUCGUUAACAGGGGUUUAAGCCCUCUUACUAUAA
rnacentral:tRNA from 1 species